rnacentral:tmRNA from 1 species
GGGCUUGUACUGGUUUCGACAGGGAUCUCGAAGAUGGAGAAGCUAUCCGUAGGCUGAUGCGUUAAAUCGCAAACUUAAAAUUAAACGCUAACGAUAAUUUCGAAUUAGCUGCAGCCUAAAUGCUGCAUGUCAGCCCUGAAGCACUCACACUUUAGGAAUCUGGCACCGACUAUGUGAGAAACGAUGACGGCAAAGCUUUGAGCCGUAGGCGUAUUAUGAAGCUACUGAACCCGUAAGGAUGUUAGUUUUCGUACGGCAGAGGGAAUGUCAAAUAACUGACUAUGAUAGUAGAAGUACAUGGGACAGGUUUUUGGACGCGGGUUCGAUUCCCGCCAGGUCCACUU